rnacentral:rRNA from 1 species
GACAGAGGGUGCAAACGUUGUUCGGAAUUACUGGGCGUAAAGCGCGUGUAGGUGGUGGGGCAAGUCGGAUGUGAAAGCCCAGGGCUCAACCCUGGAAGUGCAUUCGAUACUGCUUCACUGGAGUCCCGGAGAGGAUGGUGGAACUCUCGGUGUAGAGGUGAAAUUCGUAGAUAUCGAGAAGAACACCGUCGGCGAAGGCGACCAUCUGGACCGUUACUGACACUGAGACGCGAAAUCCUGGGGAGCAAACAUG